AUUGAACGCUGGCGGCAGGCUUAACACAUGCAAGUCGAGCGGGGUGAUGGUGCUUGCACUAUCACUUAGCGGCGGACGGGUGAGUAAUGCUUAGGAAUCUGCCUAUUAGUGGGGGACAACAUCUCGAAAGGGAUGCUAAUACCGCAUACGUCCUACGGGAGAAAGCAGGGGAUCACUUGUGACCUUGCGCUAAUAGAUGAGCCUAAGUCGGAUUAGCUAGUUGGUGGGGUAAAGGCCUACCAAGGCGACGAUCUGUAGCGGGUCUGAGAGGAUGAGCCGCCACACUGGGACUGAGACACGGCCCAGACUCCUACGGGAGGCAGCAGUGGGGAAUAUUGGACAAUGGGGGGAACCCUGAUCCGGCCAUGCCGCGUGUGUGAAGAAGGCCUUAUGGUUGUAAAGCACUUUAAGCGAGGAGGAGGCUCUUUUGGUUAAUACCCAAGAUGAGUGGACGUUACUCGCAGAAUAAGCACCGGCUAACUCUGUGCCAGCCGCCGCUGUAA
rnacentral:rRNA from 1 species